GGGGAUAUAGCUCAGUGGGUAGUGCACUUGCCUAGCAUGCUUGAGAACCUAGGUUCCACCUUAGUUCCCCCC
rnacentral:tRNA from 1 species